UACGUAGGGGGCAAGCGUUGUUCGGAUUUACUGGGCGUAAAGGGCGCGUAGGCGGCCACCGAAAGUCGACUGUGAAAUCUCCGGGCUUAACCCGGAAAGGUCAGCCGAUACUGCGGGGCUAGAGUGCAGAAGGGGCAACUGGAAUUCUCGGUGUAGCGGUGAAAUGCGUAGAUAUCGAGAGGAACACCUGCGGCGAAGGCGGGUUGCUGGGCUGACACUGACGCUGAAGCGCGAAAGCUAGGGGAGCGAACGGG
rnacentral:rRNA from 1 species